UAGGGAAUAUUGGUAAUGUGCGAAAGCGCGAACCAGCAACGCCGCGUGCACGAUGAAGGCCUUCGGGUUGUAAAGUGCUUUUAGAGAGGAUGAGGAAGGACAGUACUUUCUGAAUAAGCCUCGGCUAACUACGUGCCAGCAGCCGCGGUAAUACGUAGGGGGCAAGCGUUGUCCGGAUUUACUGGGUGUAAAGGGUGCUCAGGCGGAUUUGUAAGUCAGAGGUGAAAUCUUACAGCUUAACUGUGAAACUGCCUUUGAUACUGCAAGCCUAGAGUAUGGAAGAGAGUGAUGGAAUAUCUGGUGUAGCAGUGAAAUGCGUAGAUAUCAGAUAGAACACCAAUGGCGAAGGCAGUCACUUGGUCCAUUACUGACGCUAAAGCACGAAAGCGUGGGUAGCAAACA
rnacentral:rRNA from 1 species